rnacentral:rRNA from 1 species
AGUGAAUAGAUACCCAGGUAGUCCUAGCCGUAAACGAUACUCGCUAGGUGUCGGCCACGGUGCGACCGUUGUCGGUGCCGUAGGGAAAGCCGUGAAGCGAGCCACCUGGGAAGUACGGCCGCAAGGCUGAAACUUAAAGGAAUUGGCGGGGGAGCACCACAACGGGUGGAGCUUGCGGUUUAAAUUGGAUUCAACGCCGGAAAUCUUACCGGGACCGACAGCAAUAUGAAGGCCAGGCUGAAGACUUUGUCCGGAUUAGCUGAGAGGUGGUGCAUGGCCGUCGUCAGUUCGUACUGUGAAGCAUCCUGUUAAGUCAGGCAACGAGCGAGACCCACGCCCACAGUUGCCAGCGUACUCUCCGGAGUGACGGGUACACUGUGGGGACCGCCGCUGCUAAAGCGGAGGAAGGAAUGGGCAACGGUAGGUCAGUAUGCCCCGAAUAUCCCGGGCUACACGCGAGCUACAAUGGUUGGUACAAUGGGUAUCUACCCCGAAACGGGGUAUGGAAAUCUCCUAAACGCCAAUCUUAGUUCGGAUUGAGGGCUGCAACUCG